AGUGAACGCUGGCGGUAGGCCUAACACAUGCAAGUCGAACGGCAGCACAGUAAGAGCUUGCUCUGACGGGUGGCGAGUGGCGGACGGGUGAGGAAUACAUCGGAAUCUACUUUUUCGUGGGGGAUAACGUAGGGAAACUUACGCUAAUACCGCAUACGACCUACGGGUGAAAGCAGGGGAUCUUCGGACCUUGCGCGAUUGAAUGAGCCGAUGUCGGAUUAGCUAGUUGGCGGGGUAAAGGCCCACCAAGGCGACGAUCCGUAGCUGGUCUGAGAGGAUGAUCAGCCACACUGGAACUGAGACACGGUCCAGACUACUACGGGAGGCAGCAGUGGGGAAUAUUGGACAAUGGGCGCAAGCCUGGUCCAGCCAUACCGCGUGGGUGAAGAAGGCCUUCGGGUUGUAAAGCCCUUUUGUUGGGAAAGAAAAGCAGCAGGUUAAUACCCCGCUGUUCUGACGGUACCCAAAGAAUAAGCACCGGCUAACUUCGUG
rnacentral:rRNA from 1 species